GGCAGCUGCACAGAGCGAGGGGGAGCGGCGCGGCCGCCAGCAGUGCGGCCUCCGGGUGCCGCCGCCCUCCCCGGGGAGCCUCGGGGACCUCACCCUGGGAAAGCUCUCCCGGGUGACCCCGACCUCCCAGUACGCGGGACGGGCCCGCGCCAGGACUCACCCAGAGGCCGCAGAUCCCCAGAGUAACCGCUUGUCCCUCCUCAAGGCCCUUUGCUUAGGAAGAAAGCAAAGAAUAGAACCUGCAAGAUGGCGUGUUCACUUCCAAUCCUGGCAGCCUGAGCUUGAUCCCCAAGACCCACACGGUAGAGGGAUAGAACUGACUCCUGCAUGUUGGCCUCUGACGUCCAUACAUAUCCCUUAGCAUGUGCGUAUCUCUCUUCUCUCAAAAAAUAAGCAAAUGCAAUAAAACUGAGAGAGAGAGAGAGAGAGAGAGAGAGAGAGAGAGA
rnacentral:lncRNA from 1 species